rnacentral:rRNA from 1 species
AGCUCCAAUAGCGUAUAUUAAAGUUGUUGCAGUUAAAAAGCUCGUAGUUGGAUUUCUGGUGGGAGCGAUCGGUCCGGCUCUUUGAGUUGGUACUUGUAUUGUCUCCUACCAUCUUUCAGGAAAACCUGUCUGGCAUUAAGUUGUCGAGCAGUUGAUCCUGAUCUUUUACUGUGAAAAAAUUAGAGUGUUCAAAGCAGGCUUAUGCCGUUGAAUAUAUUAGCAUGGAAUAAUAAGAUAGGACUAUGGCUCUAUUUUGUUGGUUUGUGCGCCAUGGUAAUGAUUAAUAGGGACAGUUGGGGGUAUUCGUAUUCCAUUGUCAGAGGUGAAAUUCUUGGAUUUAUGGAAGACGAACUACUGCGAAAGCAUUUACCAAGGAUGUUUUCAUUA